rnacentral:rRNA from 1 species
UGGUUUAUUCGACGCAACGCGCAGACCUUACCAGCCUUGACAUCCCGGUGCGGUUCCAGAGAUGGAUCCUUCAGUUCGCUGGACCGGAGACAGGUGCUGCAUGCUGUCGUCAGCUCGUGUCGUGAGAUGUGGGUUAAGUCCCGCAACGAGCGCAACCCCGUCUUUAAUGCUACCAUUUAUUGAGCACUCUAAAGAGACUGCCGGUGAUAAGCCGGAGGAAGGUGGGGAUGACGUCAAGUCCUCAUGGCCCUUACGGGCUGGGCUACACACGUGCUACAAUGGCGGUGACAGAGGGACGCAAAGGCGCAAGCUUCGCAAAUCUCAAAAAGCCGUCUCAGCUCGGAUUGGGCUCUGCAACUCGAGCCCAUGAAGUGGAAUCGCUAGUAAUCGCAGAUCAGAUGCUGCGGUGAAUACGUUCCCGGGCCUUGAACACACCGCCCGUC